GAGUUUGUAUCCUGGCUCAGAUUGAACGCUGGCGGCAGGCCUAACACAUGCAAGUCGAGCGGUAGAGAGAAGCUUGCUUCUCUUGAGAGCGGCGGACGGGUGAGUAAUGCCUAGGAAUCUGCCUGGUAGUGGGGGAUAACGCUCGGAAACGGACGACUAAUACCGCAUACGUCCUACGGGAGAAAGCAGGGGACCUUCGGGCCUU
rnacentral:rRNA from 1 species